CGUACCGGAAGGUGUGGCUGGAUCACCUCCUUAUAGGGAGACCUCACACUACCAUAACCGAAACAAAAUGGAUUAAGUUAGGUAGAUGUCAUCCCAAGGUCGAGCGAUAUUUUCGAGAGGGCUUUCAAACUUUAUAUUCUAGUUCAGCUAGCUCUGGGCUAUUAGCUCAGUUGGCUAGAGCGCACCCCUGAUAAGGGUGAGGUCCCCAGUUCAAGUCCGGGAUAGCCCACUUAUCACCUAGCAAAUAGUUAAUACCACCAUUAAUAGUGUGUGGCGGUUAAUUAAAUGAACUAGGGGGUUUAGCUCAGUUGGUAGAGCGCCUGCUUUGCAAGCAGGAUGUCAGCGGUUCGAGUCCGCUAACCUCCAUCUGUUAGAUCGACAACAGAGACAGCUAACUAGAAUAAAAAUUGCCAACAGUGGAAAUGACUUCAGCACCUACUAUCUUGAGUAGUCUGCUGGACUUAAUGUCCAGUUCGCACCUUGACAACUGCAUAAUAAUCAACAGUCACGUAGUCGUAAUUAACAUUACAGACAAUCCAAAAACAAAUCAUAGAAACUUGUGACGUAAGUUCUAGAGUGAAUUAACUUGUUAAUUUGCUUAAGAAUAAACAAACAAAGUGGUCAAGCUACAAAGGGCUUACGGUGGAUACCUAGGCAUACAGAGGCGAUGAAGGACGUAGUUACCGACGAAACGUCUCGGGGAGCUGGCAGCAGGCUUAGAUCCGAGAAUCUCCGAAUGGGGCAACCCUUAAUACUGCCACCUGAAUCUAUAGGGUGGCAAGAGCUAACCCAGCGAAUUGAAACAUCUUAGUAGCUGGAGGAAGGGAAAGCAAAAGCGAUUCCCCAAGUAGCGGCGAGCGAAACGGGAACAGCCUAAACCAGAGUGCAUGCACUCUGGGGUUGUGGGACAGCAACGUGGACUAGAGCGAUUAGACGAAGCAUCUGAAUAGUGCAUCAGAGAGGGUGAUAAUCCCGUAGUCAAAAAUCUAACUAGCCUAGCUGAAU
rnacentral:rRNA from 1 species